rnacentral:lncRNA from 1 species
GAGAAGCCACGCCCACCUCCUGCUAUGCUGCAAGGCUCUGGCACAUCCCGCGCGGUCCUAAUGCUUGAUGGGUUCCAGCAGACUGAGGACGUGGGUUUGGGACUUUCGGACCACGGCGAGACCAUCUUCGCGUCAGCCACCGCCCUGGAUCACGCCAAGUGGGUUCCCAGCCCCUGCCGCCUCGUGAACUCCGCCAAAGUCAGCCACGGGAGAUUACCAUAUUCUAAAACUUCACCUGGACCGUUGGUGUGAACGCUGGGACGAAGAUCCAGGAGUUAGGUCGGGAUGUAGAGUGGUUUUGGGCGGCGAGCGCCCUUGCUCAGGCUGGCUGCAAGGUGCUGCUUUGGGCCGGGUAUCCGGCUGAGGGGACCCUGUUGCUGGGGGUGCUUGGCCUAAUGGUUGCAUCUGGCUUGCAAGGUUAAGUUUAAGGACGCCCUCCUGCCCCAAAUCUAUGGUUUGCGCAAUCACUUAUUGCCUACGUUUUAGUUCCUAUCCGUGAACAUUUGGAAUUCUUGAGCUGGUGUGAAUUUCCUGUAACUCUUUUAAACAAUUUAAUAAGUUACUGUCUUGUCAGGGUUUUAAGUUUUUAAGCGAUAUUACAUUUUUAAGUUUUGUAGACACCGCCCUCCCUAUGACUCUUUCAGUGAUAUGUAUAGCCCAACCAUAAAAAUCAAUUUAAAAACCAAACCAACCCAAGGGGCCAUGAUUGCUCUCAGAGCCAUCAGGACCAUCCUGUCUCAUUUGUGCUGGAGCCUGACUGCCGGUCAAGAGUUCUUGGCAUGCUGUUUGUCAGUCCAUGAUUGUAAAUAAAUAUAAAUCUUGUGCCCAGGGGCGGGGGAAACAGGAUUAUUAUUAUUAUUAUUAUUAUUAUUAUUAUUAUUAUUAUUUGAGGGUCCAUAAUAGUAGUUUCUUUGUGUGUUUGCUUUUUAAAAUUUCCGACAGUUUUAAAUAAAGAACUUAUACCACAUAACCAAA